CAGCCGCCGCGGGAAAACGUAGGUGGCAAGCGUUGUCCGGAAUUAUUGGGCGUAAAGGGCUCGCAGGCGGCUUCUUAAGUCUGAUGUGGAAGCCCCCGGCUCAACCGGGGAGGGUCAUUGGAAACUGGGAAACUUGAGUGCAGAAGAGGAGAGUGGAAUUCCACGUGUAGCGGUGAAAUGCGUAGAGAUGUGGAGGAACACCAGUGGCGAAGGCGACUCUCUGGUCUGUAACUGACGCUGAGGAGCGAAAGCGUGGGGAGCGAACAGGAUUAGAUACCCCCGUAGUCCCUGUCUCUUAUAC
rnacentral:rRNA from 1 species